rnacentral:rRNA from 1 species
GUAGGUGGCAAGCGUUGUCCGGAAUUAUUGGGCGUAAAGCGCGCGCAGGUGGUUCUUUAAGUCUGAUGUGAAAGCCCCCGGCUCAACCGGGGAGGGUCAUUGGAAACUGGGGAACUUGAGUGCAGGAGAGGAAAGUGGAAUUCCACGUGUAGCGGUGAAAUGCGUAGAUAUGUGGAGGAACACCAGUGGCGAAGGCGACUUUCUGGCCUGUAACUGACACUGAGGCGCGAAAGCGUGGGGAGCAAACAGGGAUUAGACACCCUGGUAGUCCACGCCGUAAACGAUGAGUGCUAAGUGUUGGGGGGGUUUCCCGCCCCUCAGUGCUGCAGCUAACGCAUUAAGCACUCCGCCUGGGGAGUACGGUCGCAAGACUG